rnacentral:rRNA from 1 species
UACGUAGGGGGCGAGCGUUGUCCGGAUUUAUUGGGCGUAAAGAGCUCGUAGGCGGUUUGGUAAGUCGGGUGUGAAAUCUCCACGCUCAACGUGGAGGGGCCACUCGAUACUGCCAUGACUCGAGUCCGGUAGAGGAGUGUGGAAUUCCCGGUGUAGCGGUGAAAUGCGCAGAUAUCGGGAGGAACACCCGUAGCGAAGGCGGCACUCUGGGCCGGAACUGACGCUGAGGCGCGAAAGCGUGGGGAGCGAACAGG